GUUACCUUCGGGUAAUGAGGAUGGCGGACGGGUGAGUAACGCGUAAGGAACUUGCCUCUUGGACUGGGACAACUGUUGGAAACGACAGCUAAUACCGGAUAUUAUGAGAUUCUCGCAUGAGAAAUUUAUGAAAGCUAUAUGCGCCAAGAGAGAGCCUUGCGUUCCAUUAGCUAGUUGGUGGGGUAACGGCCCACCAAGGCGACGAUGGAUAGCCGGCCUGAGAGGGUGAACGGCCACAAGGGGACUGAGACACGGCCCUUACUCCUACGGGAGGCAGCAGUGGGGAAUAUUGGACAAUGGGCCACAAGCCUGAUCCAGCAAUUCUGUGUGCACGAUGAAGGUCUUCGGAUUGUAAAGUGCUUUCAGUUGGGAAGAAGAAAGUGACGGUACCAACAGAAGAAGCGACGGCUAAAUACGUGCCAGCAGCCGCGGUAAUACGUAUGUCGCAAGCGUUAUCCGGAUUUAUUGGGCGUAAAGCGCGUCUAGGCGGAAAAAUAAGUCUGAUGUUAAAAUGCGGGGCUCAACUCCGUAUUGCGUUGGAAACUGUUUUUCUAGAGUACUGGAGAGGUGGGCGGAACUACAAGUGUAGAGGUGAAAUUCGUAGAUAUUUGUAGGAAUGCCGAUGGAGAAGUCAGCUCACUGGACAGAUACUGACGCUGAAGCGCGAAAGCGUGGGGAGCAAACAGG
rnacentral:rRNA from 1 species